CCGCCGAGACCGCUGUGCGCCCGAGGGGCCUGCAAAGCCACCGCGGGAGCCACGUGGAGAGAAAGCAGUGACACAUGAGCACAUAUUUCCACGAAUCUUGCAACUGCGUAGGGGGUCUUGCGGUGUCCCGGUGGGAACCUCUCUGUGUCCCACAGAGAACAGGAGCUGCGACGCGAUGUCCCUCUGGGUUCUGAAUGUGCUGUGCCAUUGCACAGAGCAUCGCGUGGAGGUCAUGUAGGUGGGAAGGAGUCCGGCAAGACACUCUGUCCAGGAGUGGCAUAUAGUUAUGUCAUUAUCUCAGUCUGAGGAAGGACCAGACCUGAGACCCACUGCUGCAGAUGAGUGUGAUGCCAGGCAAACCAACAGCAGCACCAGAACAAGCCACACGUCCAGGCAUGAUCACUGGUGAAGUAAGACCUGUAGCCAACCUCAGGAGCUGGUUCAGAGAAGAACGAAGCAGAUGCAGAAAACUCAGUCUGCAGGACAGGGUCACUGUGAGGCCCAUGCAGACUCACUUCCUCCUGUGCCUUGAAGAUGUAAUCUGUGUCCCUUCUGUCAGUGGUUCUCAGGACUGGACAUGUCAUCUGUGCAGCUGCUACAACAAAACACCAAGCUGGACCACUCCUCGAUAUCAGAAGCUUAUUUCUCAUAGUUCUGGAAGCUGAUCAGUCUAAGAGUGAGGCACCACAGAUUAGGAACCUGGAGAGGCCAGCUUCCUGUUCACAGUCUUCACAUGUUGUCCAAGGCCAGGAGCUCUCUGAUAAGAGCAACUGCCCUGCCGGCAUGUGCCAAGGCCUUGGCAAGGUCUGCAUGCAGAUGACUGGACAGCUUCAGAGGAGGUGAUGGAAAUCAGGAGGCAGGAACGUUAACCUGGGAGACAUGUCUGUUUUCAGUUUGCUUGACUUUCAUUUAUGCAACCCUGACAUUGGAAUAAACCUGUUAAAUAUAUUUUAAAAAUGCGACCUCGUGGUAAAACAUGAUACCUCUCUUUAAAGCUCUUUUAAUUGAAUGCACCUGGUGCUUCUCUCUAUCAAUUUAUGUUAAUGCCACACACAGACAAGCAGGACCUAAUUGCAAAUUAAGCAAUAAAGCUGUUUAUAAGAGCAAA